rnacentral:tRNA from 1 species
GCUCCUAUAGUCUAGUGGUCAGGACGUCGGAUUCUGAUUCCGAAAACAUUGGUUCAAUUCCAGUUGGGAGCU